rnacentral:lncRNA from 1 species
UGGGUGGGACUGGGAGGAACAGUCUUAACAUGAACCGAGCUCGAGCUCUUAGAGGGAGGCAACACCGCCUUUGACCGUCGUGGGUUGUAACUCUGGUGGUGGUGGUGGAGCAUAAGGUUUUAUGGGUUCCCUUUUUUCUACCCAUAACCCUACCCCUCGCUAAGACACUCUGUUUUUCAUUUUACGUUAAUGUGUUUUUGUUUAAAU